GCCCCCUCCCCCGUGGGCGGGGCUUGUUAUAUUAGGCGCGGUGACGUCACGGUUGAUUGACAGGCGGGGUGCGACAGCGCGUCGGACGAGGUGGCCGGAGGAGACGAGACCCCGCGUUCACCGCAGUGCCGGGGGACAUGAGGAGGAGGCGCUGGUCGGACGAGUGGGGAAUCGGUAACGCCCGCCCUCACCGAAACCCUCACCGGCACCGGCGCCGUCUCCUCCGCGCCGCGCCGCGGCUACGCCGGGAUCUCCUCUCGGUCUCGCCAGCGAUUUGCCGGGCGGCACGGUUCGUCGCCGGCUGCUGAAGUUUCGCCGUUGGUUUUGGUUACCACCAGCAGUGUUUUGUACGAAGCUCGCGAAUUGAUCGCGUCCGUGUUAAUUUUCCAUGGGGG